AUUAAAUGGUCACGUACGUGGCAGGAAGCACAAACAGUGUGAAGCAGUAAGAGGAAAUGAGUUUGGGCAGGCCUUGGUAAAAGCUCUGAUGCUCAGUUCAUGAGACGAUAACUAUGAUUAAACUGAUAAUCUCAAACUGUACAACAUUUCCAAGAUGCUGCCUAACCUGCCGAGUAUUUCCAGUAUUCUGCAUUUUUGUUCUUCUUGGCUCAAAAGAGAUCGUAAAAUAUGGAAAGAAUUUGAUAAGGGAUUUCAACACUACCAGGAAGUGCUGCAGAAUGAAUAGAAAAUGCUGGCAAUGGAGAAUUGAAUAUCAUCUGCCAUCAGUAUUUUAAAACCACCCAUGCAAUGCACUCAUCUUAAAUUCCUAUGUGUUUAUGUGUCAGUGGAAUAAACCAAAUCAUACUAAAUUAACUGCUUCACUGCUUUUUAUCUUUUAGCAGACUUGGCGGCAUGGUGGUAGAGUUGCUGCCUUACAGCAAUUAGAGCCAGAGAUCUGGGUUUGAUCCUGACUACGGGUGCUGUCUGUACGGAGUUUGUACGUUUUCCAUGUGGAUUUUCUCUGAGAUCUUCGGUUUCCUCCCACACUCCAAAGACGUACAGAUUUGUAGGCUAAUCGGCUUGGUAUAAAUGGAAAAUUUUCCCUAAUGUGUGUCGGAGAGUGUUAAUGUGCGGGGAUCGCUGGUCGGUGCGGACUCGGUGGGCCAAAGAGCCUGUUUCCGCGCCGUAUAUCUAAACUAAACUAUAUCAUUGUUCAUGUUUACGCCAGCAAUUUCCAAAUAAUAAACUCCCAUGUCCUGUGAUGAGAUCAAGGUGGGUGAGAAACUGUGCAAAGUGGAGGCAAACCCCUCUGAAUAGACUGAUGAAAACAAAUUAAAAUCAAAGCAUUAUCUUGGGUCAUUUCAGUUGCUGCUCUGAAUCAGAUUGGAUAAAAGGUUACCAAAUUAUGAAGACAUCCAUGCAGAGCUCUAUUAAUAGCUGGAAGGAUGGGGCAAAAUGCGAUUGCUUUGAAAUAGACACACAAGAGACUACAGAUGCUGGAUUCCUGAGCAAAAAACACACUGCUGAUGUGUGACGAAGAGUCCCAACUCAAAAUGUUGUCUGAAGACUUCCUUCUGGUGUUAUCCUCUACAAACUUGCCAUUAUACAGAUAAAGGGUCUGUCCCACUUUCACGACCUCUGCCGAGUUUGCCCUUGACUCAUACUCGCAGCGUGGCCGUCACGAGGUCAUAGGAGGUUGUAGGUAGGUCGUAGGUAUGUCGUGAUGCUAGUCGUAGGUAGUCGUGGCAUCAAGUAGGUCGGGGCGUUAUUUCAACAUGAUAAAAAAUGUCCACGAGUAAAAAAGGUCGUGAAUUAGGUUGUGAAAGUGGGACAGGCCCUUAACUAUCCCGACAAUCUUCUACCCAUGCUGGUACCAUGCCUCUAGUGAAAUGGGCUUCUAUCUUGUUCAGUAGCCUUACUUGCAGCACCUUGUCAAAGGCCUUCUGAAAAUCCAAGUGAACAACAUCUACUGACUCUCCUUUGUCUAUCCUACUCAUUACUUCCUCAAAGAAUUCCAACAGAUUGUCAGGCAAGAUCUCCCCUUCACAAAGCCAUGCAGACUUUGGCAUAUUUUAUCACGUGCUCUCAAAUAUCCUGAAACCUCAUCCUUAAUCCACAGAGACGGCACCAGAGGCCAGAAUCAAACCCGGGCCGCUGGGGCAGUGUGGAGCUGCUGCACCACUGUGAUUGUCUCUGCUUAGACAUGUUGUUUCUAAUGAUUUAAUAAAGUCGUUCAGGCAACGUUUAACUGUGUUAUUUUAUAUUGUUUGGAGAAAUUAGAACAAACAGAAACACUAGAAUUUAUUCUGUCUAAACAUUCAACCACAAUUCAUCUGUUAUGGAGAUUUUAUUAUAAGCCUCACUGAUGUUAAUAAACAACAAGUGGGCUUGUUUUAGUAAUCCUAACCAGAAAUUAAAACACAGACUUUCAAGAUAUGGCAUUUCUCCCUGAUCUUGUUCGCUCACCAUCCUCCCAUUGUCUCCUUCUCCCUCCUUUCCUUUCGUGGGAAAAUAACUCCCACAAUAAAGGGAGUGAGGUAGUUUUCAAAUGCUGAUUCAGGCUAAGAGUUAACAGAUUGUUACUACUUCAAUUUAUUCAUAAAGCACCUCUGUAUUUACUUGAAAUUAUGAUUUUUAAGUGUAAAUUUGUGAUCUGAGAUCAUGC